rnacentral:lncRNA from 1 species
GGGAGUGAGAGAGCACCAUUGGAAAAUUUUUGAAGCAGCCACACGAUUCCGAGAGUGAGAGAGCACCAUUGAGGGACCUGCAUAUGAGAAAAAUAGCCGCACCAUCGAAAGAAAGGCUUUAUCUCCAAGAGCACAAGUGUGCACGCUGUUAAAAAGAAUUGCUCUCCAUUAACAUGCAACAUUUUGAGGACUUGCAGUGCAUGGGCAGCCAUCAUACCAUGCGUCCUUGGACCCCUUAUUGAGAAGCCCACUAUCACUUUUGGUGGAAAGUGCCCACGCGUUUUUGAAAAAGGUAAAUUAAUUCUUCCUAUUUCAAUUUUUAUUCAUGAAAUAUUCAAUUCAAUUCAUAAUUGUUUUAGAAUUUUAUCUAUUUAGUUUAAUUAUUUCCAAUAUCAAUAUAUUCAUGAUGUGAAUUUGUUAAAUUUAGUUUUAAAUUAUUCCCAUUUAGCCUAUGUAUUUUAAAAUUUUAUUUUAUUGUAAAUUCAUGUUUAGUUUAGAUGUUAAAUUUUAAUUUUUUUUUAACUAAAUAAAUUAAUUAUUAUUGAUUCAUAUUUGAAUAUUAUGAUUUUUGUUUAAUUUAGUUACAAUUUAUUAUUUUUAGUUUGACAAAUUAGAAUUCUUAAGUAUUGGUUUGGAUCUUGAUGAUAAUGGAAAAGUUAGAAUUUUUAAGUGUUUGGAUAACUUUCAAUGAUAGUUUAAAAGUUAGGAUUUUGAUUAGUAUUAGUUUUGCUUCGUUCUUAGUUGGGAAAUUCAUAAUUUCAUUAGUUUAGUUUCAAUUCAUCUUUUAGUUUAGAUGUUAUUAAAAUUCUAGUUUAUUAGUUCAAUCGAUUCCAUGCUACUAUUUUCAUAUCCUAAGUUUAUUAAUUUUAAUUCAUGAUACAUCAUUUUUAGUUUAUAAGUUUUAGGAUUUGAGUUGGUUAAUUUAUUUCAUUUUAUAUUGAUAUAUUCAUGUUUUUUUUUAAUAAAAAAAAAACAUUUGUUGACUCUAGUUUUGAUUGAUCCUAUUUUAGUUGAUAGUUUUUUUAGAAUUUUAAUAAGUUUGAUUGGUCUCAUAUUAUUUGUUUCAUGUUUUAAGAUUUUUAAUUUCAAUUUUCUAUUAAUUCUAUGCUUUAGAAUUGUAGUCAAUUAGUUUAAUCUAAAAAAAAAACAUUUGUUGACUCUAGUUUUGAUCGAUCCUAUUUUAGUUGAUAGGUUUUUUAGAAUUUUAAUAAGUUUGAUUGGUUUCAUAUUAUUUGUUUCAUGUUUCAAGAUUUUUAAUUUCAAUUUUCUAUUAAUUCUAUGCUUAAGAAUUGUAGUAAGUUAGUUUAAUCUAUCCCCAUGUUAUCAUUUCGUGUUUAAAAAUAGGUAAUUUUAGUUUUUUUUACUGAUUUUAUUUAGUUUAUGCGUUUGUUUUCUUUUAUUUAAUUGAUUAGUUUAGUCGAUUUAUCAUGUUAGAUUUAUGACUUAAAAUCGUCAAUAUUAGUUGAUAUGUGUUGUUAGUUUUGUUUUAAAAGUCAAAUAAUAUUAGCAUUUGAUUGAUUUUAUCUUAAGCUUAAAUGUUUUUAAAGUUCCAGUGUUUGUAAGAUCUAAAAGGUUUUGGGUUUAUCGCUUUGGUCAUCCUUUGUCAAAUUCCAUUUCUAAGAGGCCAUUGGAAAACCAUGAAGAUUGGUCUCUACCCUCACCUUUAUCAUUUUUGUUAAUUACCAAAAAAAAAAAAUUACUUUGUGAUUUCAUUUUCUUUUGUUUUGUUUGGUAUUUUGUUUCUUAUGUUCUAUUUUUUUUUUCAAAUUAAUUUCUUUUAUUUUAAAACAAAACAAUUUCCUCAAAAUACCCCUUUAAAAAUCUUAUUUUAAAAAUAAUUCAUUUAGAGUCCUUAGAAUAAAAAUCUCAUUUUCUUAAAUAAUAUGCAACCAUGUUUUGAUCAGUUUGCAUCUUCCUCGGUUUUCAAUAAAAAAUAUGGUUUUAAGUAGAACAUGAAUCCAAGCUUGUGAUCCUAAAUAAAUGGGAUAAUUCAAGGCUAGAUUAGUGUAUAUCAAUUGGGGAAUUAGUGAAACUCCUACAUAAAAGAAUUUUUUCAAAACUUAUUUUUGCUACCACCUUUCACUACAAGAAAAAAGUUCAUUAUUGACAUAUAUCAUCUUGACUUAAGAUAAUAUAUCUGAAGAUUGUCUAUUUAAAUGAACAAUUAUGACAUAUACAAUUUAGUUUAAAUCAACAAUGACAUAUAUAAUAGUUAUUGCAUUUUUCCAUGACUUAUGAUGAUGCAACCUUGACAAAUAAUUUAUAAGUCAAUCUAUAAUUAAUAUGUUCAUAUGUCAAGGUACCAAAAUGAAAGCAAUAAUGACAUAUAUAUUAUUUGCUAAAUUUUUCUUGGUUUAAUGAUAUGCAAUCUUGACUAAAAAAUCAUUAGUCAAAGUAUAGUUAAUCUUUUCUAUCUAAAUAAAAGUAAUAAUGACAUACAUGCAUUUGCUAAAUUUUUAUAUGGUUUAUAAUGACACAACCUCAAUAGAAAUUUAUAAGUUAAUAAAUAUUUAAUAAAUUAAUAUUUUAAGAUUAGAAUAUUUGGUACCGUCACUUUAACAUAUAUUUUGUAAGUGAAAAUAAGCCUAUUUUAUUUUAAUUUAUUAAGGUUGAGUUAUUGAAAAACAAAAUCCUAAUUUAAGGCAAUUUUAUCAAAUUUUGGUAGUUUUUACAAGCAUAUUCAUUAUUAUUUUGAAUAGAAAUUUGUGAUUAAAAAGGAUAAGAUAAUGUUUCCAUUUAAAAAAUAAUAUCAAUAUAUUGAAAACUAUACCUAUAAUCUUAUUUUAAUAUUUUGGAUAAGACACUAAGUUAUGUCUCUAUAUUUCUAAUUGUUGGAAUUAAAAUAUAUUGCCACUAACUUGGGUCGAGGUCUCACAAGUAUUAGGUAAUUAAAUUAUUAUUUAUGUUUAAUUAGACAUUAAAUCUACUAAGAAUAACUUAAUUAGUAUUUAGGUAUUAUAACUAAUUGUAGACCACAAAAUCAAUCCAUAGACCCAUUUCUUUUAAAAUAUUUUAAGCCCGUUUUAUUUAGUUUGGGCCCAUUACAUUUAUGCUUUUGCCUGAGCCAUAAAAAAAGCUUAAUAAAUAAGUUUUUUGUUUUUCCUUUCUAUUCCAUUUCCUUCCACUUACAGCCGCCCCAUCUUCCCCAUCUUCCUUUUUCUCUUCUUUUCCUAUUUUUUUUCUUCUUUCUUCUUCUUUCUUCUUUCUUUUUUCAUCCUCUCAUCCUCAUAUUCAUGGCAGCCUCUACGCCACCACCUCCAUCUCCUGUGUUGUUACCAUUCAUGAGUCCCACACCAACCAUGCCACCAUCUUUAGAUUCCCCCAUGGCUAUUGUUCCCAUGUUCACUACGACUCAAAUGUGCUUCCUGAUGUUUCGCCAUAACCCCGAUGUGAUUCUUGAUGUUCCAUCACCAUCAUAGCCACCAUUGUUGUAGCCCACAGCCUUGGUACCUCUUGCACUACCCAUUGAAUUUUGUUGGACUGACAUCAACACCACCAUCUCCAUGGUUGCCACUUCGUUCUUCAUCUUAAGGCUUCAAGAGACGUAGGUAAUCUCUACAGUACUUGUUGAGGUAGUUUUAAUUUAAUUUUUAUAUGGGCUUGGGUCUCAUUUGCUUUAUGAUUGGGCUUCAAAUAUUUGGUGCAUGGGUUUGAUGUUAUAAUAUUUUAUUACUUGGGCCUUGUGUUUCAUUUGGUUGAGCCCAAUAAUAAGAGUAUCAGGCACACAUAAGCAGGUUGGUUCUUUGAGAGCCAUGGAGUUUUGUUGAACCUUAGGAUUGUUGAGGUCAUGCUUCACCAUUGAUUGGGCUUCAAGCAAGAGAUAAGUAUGGAUGAGGCUUCAUCCUGGAGGAUAUGUGAGUUUGAAUAUCCACCGUGUUUUACAUUGAAUCUAGAAUCACAAAAUCAAUUCAAUUACAAUUGAUGAUAUUAAAGGUCAAUAGGUGUAUUUAUUUUAUUUUUGUGAUAUUGAAGGUUAGUAUAUUUACUGUCCUAUGAAAAAAUCUUUUAAUUUUUUGGUAUUUGUUACUUAAUUUUAUAUUAAUUUUGUGUUUAUUCUACUAGGUAUCUAAGAAAUACAUCAAGAAGAAGACAAUGAUGCAGAAACAAAGAUCACCUCUUAUGAAGAUAAUGUUGUACUUUUCAAUUUAAGUUUGUAUAUUAUUUUAAUUGAAUGUUUUUAGCUAAGUUUUGUUUCUAUAUAGAAAAUAGAGAGGUACUUGAAAAACAUUUAUGGAAUUGUGUUCUUAAUAUUUAAUGUAUAUGUAAUGAUUUUUUUUCUUAAAUAGUAAUUUAUUUAAAUUA